rnacentral:rRNA from 1 species
UCCAGACUCCUACGGGAGGCAGCAGUGGGGAAUAUUGCACAAUGGGGGAAACCCUGAUGCAGCGACGCCGCGUGAGUGAGGAAGUAUUUCGGUAUGUAAAGCUCUAUCAGCAGGGAAGAAAAUGACGGUACCUGACUAAGAAGCCCCGGCUAACUACGUGCCAGCAGCCGCGGUAAUACGUAGGGGGCAAGCGUUGUCCGGAAUGACUGGGCGUAAAGGGAGUGUAGGCGGCUCAUCAAGUUAGAUGUGAAAUCCCGCGGCUUAACCGCGGAACUGCAUCUAAAACUGGUGAGCUGGAGUGCAGGAGAGGUGAGUGGAAUUCCUAGUGUAGCGGUGGAAUGCGUAGAUAUUAGGAGGAACACCAGAGGCGAAGGCGACUCACUGGACUGUAACUGACGCUGAGGCUCGAAAGCGUGGGGAGCAAACAGGAUUAGAUACCCUUGUA